rnacentral:piRNA from 1 species
UGUAAAAUGAAUUAGCAAUGCC